CCCGGAUGGGCGCCCAGCCCGAUCCCGCCUGGGACGCUGCGCGGAGUGCGUUUUCAGGAAGCAAAGCGUCCUUCACUUUAAGGGCCGAACUUGAUUUCGAACCAGACCCGUCUUUGUUGGCGUUCCAAGCGGUGGUGUGAUGGGUGAUCCUGUGUUUUUAAGUGUCUUCAGGUCGCAUUGGGCACCCCUCGCGCCUGCUUCCCUGCGACAGGCGAGGCCCACCCUGCCGGAGGCACCGGGGAGGCGAGGACCUGGACACGCAGGAGGCUCCCAGGCUUCACCGGCAAGAGGUCCCUUGCGGUGCGGGUGUUACGGCCAGAAUCGUGUCCCCCAAAGUUCCCGUCUUGGAGUUCUAGCCCCCAGGACCUCCAUAAUCAGAGGCGCAUCGUGUGGGGUCCUGGUUGCACGGAGUGUGACGUGUGCAUUUAAGCGAGUGCAGUAAACUGACUUUAGCAAGUAA